rnacentral:rRNA from 1 species
CCUGAUCCAGCCAUGCCGCGUGCAGGAAGACUGCCCUAUGGGUUGUAAACUGCUUUUAUACAGGAAGAAUAAGCCUUACGUGUAAGGUGAUGACGGUACUGUAAGAAUAAGGACCGGCUAACUCCGUGCCAGCAGCCGCGGUAAUACGGAGGGUCCGAGCGUUAUCCGGAAUUAUUGGGUUUAAAGGGUCCGUAGGCGGAUGAUUAAGUCAGGGGUGAAAGUUUGCAGCUCAACUGUAAAAUUGCCUUUGAUACUGGUUAUCUUGAAUUGUAUUGAAGUAGGCGGAAUAUGUAGUGUAGCGGUGAAAUGCAUAGAUAUUACAUAGAACACCAAUUGCGAAGGCAGCUUACUAAGUACUAACUGACGCUGAUGGACGAAAGCGUGGGUAGCGAACAGGAUUAGAUACCCUGGUAGUCCACGCCGUAAACGAUGGAUACUAGCUGUUCGGGGCCUUGAGCUCUGAGCGGCUAAGCGAAAGU